GGAUUAGAUACCCUGGUAGUCCACGCCGUAAACGAUGUCUACUUGGAGGUUGUUCCCUUGAGGAGUGGCUUUCGGAGCUAACGCGUUAAGUAGACCGCCUGGGGAGUACGGUCGCAAGAUUAAAACUCAAAUGAAUUGACGGGGGCCCGCACAAGCGGUGGAGCAUGUGGUUUAAUUCGAUGCAACGCGAAGAACCUUACCAUCCCUUGACAUCCAGAGAAUUUACUAGAGAUAGUUUAGUGCCUUCGGGAACUCUGAGACAGGUGCUGCAUGGCUGUCGUCAGCUCGUGUCG
rnacentral:rRNA from 1 species